UCUCCAUUGUGAUUUCCUACUCAUCCCUAAAACCCACUCGAUCGUAUGCUCCAUCAAUAAACUACCGCCGUCAAGAUUUCCGGCAUCUUCCCGCGAAAUCCGGCAAGAAACUACCGCCGUCAUUCGUAACUCAUUUUUUGGCGAUUUGCAGCAAGAAAAUGAACCGAACGUAACAACAAUUUAGUUUGUCGCGUGAGUUCAGCUGUAAGUAAUCCUAAACCUAAACUUGACUUGCUAUUUUUUAGGUAUUUUUCAGUGAGUUCAGUUGUAGGUACUUUUAGUUUUGGGGCUUUUAUGGUUCUUCGCUCCGAGUUCAAGUCUGAUUUGUUUUCACCAAAUUAAUUCCUUUUUGCAGCGUUUUACGUUUCGUUUGUACCUGUUUUGUAGGAAUUAGGAUAUGUUUUUCACUGUUUCCUUCAAUUUCUCGCAUUAAUUUCGUGUAAGAAGACUAAUUAGAAGCUGAGAUCAUAGUAUUGUGAAUAAGUUUCGUUAAGAGUGCUGAUCUGAAGCGAAUACGAACCUCAUUUGAUUCGAUUUUUUAUUGUUAUGUAUAGUAAUCAUUAACAGUAAGCAGCAUUUACCGUUUCGUGUGCCUCAAACACACGGUGCUUGUUUUGUACGAAUUAUGAUCUGUUUUCACCAUUUUGUUCAAUUUCUAGCAAUAGUUUCGUGUACGAAGCGGAUAUCAUACUGUUUUGAAUCAGUUUUGUUAAGAAUGCCGAUCUGAAGCCAAUACGAACCUCAUUUGAUUUGAUUUGAUUUAUGAUUGUAUCAUAAGCAGCGGUUAUCAUUUCGUGUGCCUCAAACACACGGUCCAUGUUUUGCACGAGUUUGAAUACAAUCUGAUGCGAAUAUGAUAUUUCAUUCCGAGCAGGGGAAGAGGUCUGAAGGUUGUUUGUGAUGCGAGAAAGAAUGACGUUUUGGUACAAAAUAAAAUGACAGUCGAAGUUUGGUGGAUCUUCGGUUGCAUCGGCAGAUAG
rnacentral:lncRNA from 1 species